UGAGCUCAAAUAGAAUUCACUCAAUUUAUUUCUGCGUUGACCGAUCAUAGAACAAAGUUGUUGAUAACUGUCUACCAGACGACAAAGAAACAUUUACAGUUUAGCUUGUGUUGUGUACUGUCAUCAUCUAGAGACACACUGAGCUAAGGGAAGUAAUUUGUCCAAAAUGUUGAAAGCUGUCAUACUUAUCUCCCUGGUUUUGCUUUUGGAGUUUCAUAAAAGCUUUCCGAUGAAGCCAGCAAAGAAUGAAGCUGUUAAUGAACUGGAUAUUGAGAAUGAACUUCAAAAGGGACAUGAACAUCUGGUCAAAAGAAGCGCCUCUUCGGAUUCUGAGGACAAGAGCUCAAUAUCCUCAGAAUCCUCUUCUUCUUCAUUAUCAUCAUCUUCCGAGGAUUACGAUGACAGCAGAUAUAAAAAACGAUCUCACCACCAAAAGAUUAAAAAGCUUUUAUGGCUCCUGCUGACCAAGAAAAAUUAAACCUUUGUCAAGAGAUGGUCAACUUCACUUUUAUAUAAUAUAAGCCAGUUAUCGAUAUUUGCACAAGGCGCAUUUUUUUUUAUUGGUACGUACCCAAAAUGAGCUUAGGAAUUGCAAGAUUUAAAAUAAAAUGUGAUAUUAUCGUCUUAAAUGAUUUCAUGGUUGUUUACUCUGCCAAUCAAAACUUGAUGCCAUGGUUGUUUAGCCAAUCAAAACUUGAUUUCAUGGUAAAUUUAUUGUAGAUUUAAAAAAAUAGUUUUUUUUCUAAUUUAAAAAAGACAAAAAAGGCACUCAAAAUCUUCUUUAAAAAUUAGAAAAGCCUAGCCAAUUUUAGUGUUUUUGUGCUGCACAUAAAAAUAAUGCAGAUCAAAUUUCUUGAUUGAUUUAGCUAUAAUAAUAAUAAUAAUAAUCUUUAUUAUCCGUAAGGAUAAUUAUUAUCCUUAUACCAUCCUUGAAAAGAUUUGUUUUACAAUCAAUGCUAGACCUACAACUAUAAAAUAAUGUAAGCUGGCCUAUAUAUCAUUUAUUUAACUCUUUUUUACACCAUGUGUAUGCCUACAUAUAUAUAUAAAAUGCUGUUUUAAAAUGUACUUAAUAUGUUAAACAAAUGAACUAUUUAAUCAGAGUACUUUGAAAUGUACUUGUUUUGCCACUUUUUAAUAUUUAAAAAAAAAAAAGUGCAUCAUAAAGAUUACCAUAAAACAAAACAAAUUUGGAAAUGAAGAAAUAUUAUUUUUCUUUACACUUUAAUAAAUAUUUUACACAAAAAAAAAACAGAUAAUUAAAAAAAUGUCUUAUCAUAGACUAGAACUCAGUGCCCUGCUAUCCUUAAUUAACCAUUUUAGCACUGAGUCUUGAACACAAGUAGAUUAUUAUGUCUUGCAUAGUGAAAAUAAAAUCUGUAAAGAUCACAAAGAACAUAUUGCUUUUGUUUAUAUUUAUUUAUGUUUUAAUUUAAAAUCUUUUAUGGGAUAUAAUAUUUAAAUUGCCACAUUAAUACUGCGAACUUAAAUGUAAUGUUUUAAACAAAGUUAUAUUUUAGGAAAUAUAGGUGCAUGUUAAAAUUCAAACAAUUUAAAAAAAAGAUUGAUUAUUUUGAAUGAAGUCACCUUUCUUUGAAAAAAGAAGGUUGGGCAUUUCAUACUAUAUUAUAGAUCAUUUUUAAUGAAAAAUACUCAAUAGAAUAAGUAUUGACAUUUUCAAUUUCUUGGUUGAAUUUAAUUAUUGUACUUUUUUAAACAUUUAAAAUAAUAAUAAAAAAUGGCAAUGUUUUCGAUUCCCAAGAUUAAGGAUGAGUGCAGUUUUUCACGACUAUGCAAACCUAGUUGCGACCUGCAAAUUUUUCAGCGUCUCAUGCAGACAAAGCCGUUGUUUGCCAGCAGUCAGUUUCUUUUUCAUCUUCUACACCUGUCUUCAAUAAGGGCUUUUUUUUGGGUAUCACAAGUAGUAACCCCGAGCCUUUGUGAGAGCUCUCCAACUGUCUCAGAGGCCAUCUAAUGCCAGCUACUUUUCUCUAUGCAUGUGAGGAUGAAAUGCAUGAUCUUUACAGCGUUUAUGGGGGACACCUCCAUUACGCCGUUCUCCCUUACACUAACCCAAAGAUCACCUUUAGCAUACGGUCGUCUCACAUGUGGGACAAGUGCCCAACCCAGCGCAGCAGUCGAAAAGUUAUUAGAAAGAGAAUUCAAGCA